rnacentral:rRNA from 2 species
UACGAAGGGGGCUAGCGUUGUUCGGAAUCACUGGGCGUAAAGCGCACGUAGGCGGAUCUUUAAGUCAGAGGUGAAAGCCUGGAGCUCAACUCCAGAACUGCCUUUGAUACUGGGGAUCUCGAGUCCGGGAGAGGUGAGUGGAACUGCGAGUGUAGAGGUGAAAUUCGUAGAUAUUCGCAAGAACACCAGUGGCGAAGGCGGCUCACUGGCCCGGAACUGACGCUGAGGUGCGAAAGCGUGGGGAGCAAACAGG